GUAUAAGCAUUAUACGGCGAAACUGCGAAUGGCUCAUUAUAUAAGUUAUCGUUUAUUUGAUAGCACUUUACUACUUGGAUAACCGUGGUAAUUCUAGAGCUAAUACAUGCUAAAAAUCCCGACUUCGGAAGGGAUGUAUUUAUUAGAUUAAAAGCCAAUGCCCUCUGGGCUCUCUGGUGAAUCAUGAUAACUGCUCGAAUCGCAGGGCCUCGUGCCGGCGAUGGUUCAUUCAAAUUUCUUCCCUAUCAACUUUCGAUGUUUGGGUAUUGGCCAAACAUGGUUACAACGGGUAACGGAGGGUUAGGGCUCGACCCCGGAGAAGGAGCCUGAGAAACGGCUACUACAUCCAAGGAAGGCAGCAGGCGCGCAAAUUACCCAAUCCCGACACGGGGAGGUAGUGACAAUAAAUACUGAUACAGGGCUCUUUCGGGUCUUGUAAUUGGAAUGAGUACAAUUUAAAUCCCUUAACAAGGAACAAUUGGAGGGCAAGUCUGGUGCCAGCAGCCGCGGUAAUUCCAGCUCCAAUAGCGUAUAUUAAAGUUGUUGUGGUUAAAAAGCUCGUAGUUGACCCUUGGGCCUGGCUGGCCGGUCCGCCUCACCGCGUGUACUGGUCCGGCCGGGCCUUUCCCUCUGUGGAACCCCAUGCCCUUCACUGGGCGUGGCGGGGAAACAGGACUUUUACUUUGAAAAAAUUAGAGUGCUCCAGGCAGGCCUAUGCUCGAAUACAUUAGCAUGGAAUAAUAGAAUAGGACGUGCGGUUCUAUUUUGUUGGUUUCUAGGACCGCCGUAAUGAUUAAUAGGGACA
rnacentral:rRNA from 1 species